rnacentral:antisense_RNA from 1 species
GAAAGAGGAGGGACAGCUGGGGCCCUAGGAGCUCCCCCUGAGGGUCUGUCCCUGGGAACGGGGCGCUGGGACGGGCACUCCUUCUGGCUGGAAUGCUACGCCGGUGAGGGAAAAAGGAGUCCACUAGGGAAGUACCUGGAGGUGGAGACGGGGAGAGAAAUCACAGAAACUCAGUUUACAAACGACUGCUUGGGAUCAGUCGUGUCACCCAGUCCAGAGGGAGCCGGUCAUUUGCGUUCCGCGAACUUGGGAGGCGACUGCUGGGGGAGCGGCGGGGCCCUCACUGCGCGUCGUCAGGGACCAGACCCUGGGGCGGCCCCGAAGCGUCCAGACUACAACUCCCGGGAUGCCGCGGGCCAGGCUGCAUCCCGCCUGCGCAGACGUAGUGGCAACUCCGCCCCUCGCCCGGCGGCGGCGCUGCGGAUUCAGUCCUAAGCGGGCGAAGGCGGCGAGCGCCGUGGGUCUGGGCGGGCCGGGAGAACCGGGUGCUUCGAGGAGAUCUGCGGGCUGGGUUAGGGGCGUUUGAACCCUUGGCUUGUCCCAGUGGGUAGGCGGGACUCCAACCCCCGCCUCUUC